AGUCCAUGAUGAGGAAAUUUUCUAAACAUCUCUUUAAAUCUCUUCCAAGCCUCACUUAGUGUCUCAUCUUCAAACGGUUGAAAAACAACUAUUUCAUUUCUGAACC